rnacentral:rRNA from 1 species
GAUGAACGCUGGCGGCGUGCUUAACACAUGCAAGUCGAACGGGAAAUAUUUCAUUGAGACUUCGGUGGAUUUGAUUUAUUUCUAGUGGCGGACGGGUGAGUAACGCGUGGGUAACCUGCCUUAUACAGGGGGAUAACAGUCAGAAAUGGCUGCUAAUACCGCAUAAGCGCACAGAGCUGCAUGGCUCAGUGUGAAAAACUCCGGUGGUAUAAGAUGGACCCGCGUUGGAUUAGCUAGUUGGUGGGGUAACGGCCCACCAAGGCGACGAUCCAUAGCCGGCCUGAGAGGGUGAACGGCCACAUUGGGACUGAGACGCGGCCCAGACUCCUACGGGAGGCAGCAGUGGGGAAUAUUGCACAAUGGGGGAAACCCUGAUGCAGCGACGCCGCGUGAAGGAAGAAGUAUCUCGGUAUGUAAACUUCUAUCAGCAGGGUAGAUAGUGACGGUACCUGACUAAGAAGCCCCGGCUAACUACGUG